UGCCGAUGAUGUAUAAUUUGCACGUAUUAUCAGAGUUUGAUGAUGAUUUUCAAUUGUCACUACCACUGAGGCA